rnacentral:rRNA from 1 species
GAUGAACGCUGGCGGCGUGCCUAAUACAUGCAAGUCGAGCGAACAGACGAGGAGCUUGCUCCUCUGACGUUAACGGCGGACGGGUGAGUAAAACGUGGAUAACCUACCUAUAAGACUGGGAUAACUUCGGGAAACCGGAGCUAAUACCGGAUAAUAUAUUGAACCGCAUGGUUCAAUAGUGAAAGACGGUUUUGCUGUCACUUAUAGAUGUAUCCGCGCCGCAUUAGCUAGUUGGUAAGGUAACGGCUUACCAAGGCGACGAUGCGUAGCCGACCUGAGAGGGUGAUCGGCCACACUGGAACUGAGACACGGUCCAGACUCCUACGGGAGGCAGCAGUAGGGAAUCUUCCGCAAUGGGCGAAAGCCUGACGGAGCAACGCCGCGUGAGUGAUGAAGGUCUUCGGAUCGUAAAACUCUGUUAUUAGGGAAGAACAAAUGUGUAAGUAACUAUGCACGUCUUGACGGUACCUAAUCAGAAAGCCACGGCUAACUACGUG